UACGGCCACAUUACGUUGAAACACCGAUUCCCGUAAGAUUAAUGAAGUUAAGCAACGUCGAGCCUAGUUAGUAUUUAGAUGGGUGAUCGCUUGGGUAU